rnacentral:rRNA from 1 species
GAUGAACGCUGGCGGCGUGCCUAAUACAUGCAAGUCGAGCGAGCGGCGGACGGGUGAGUAAUGUCUGGGAAACUGCCUGAUGGAGGGGGAUAACUACUGGAAACGGUAGCUAAUACCGCAUACCAUCAGAUGUGCCCAGAUGGGAUUAGCUAGUAGGUGGGGUAACGGCUCACCCAGGCGACGAUCCCUAGGUGGUCUGAGAGGAUGAACAGUCACACUGGCACUGAGACACGGUCCAGACUCCUACGGGAGGCAGCAGUGGGGAAUAUUGACCAAUGGGCGCAAGCCUGAUGCAGCCAUGCCGCGUGUAUGAAGAAGGCCUUCGGGUUGUAAAGUACUUUCAGCGGGGAGGCGUUACCCGCAGAAGAAGCACCGGCUAACUCCGUGCCAGCAGCCGCGGUAAUAC